UUAUCUCUUUGUUGCCUCGGCGCAAGCUACCCGGGACCUCGCGCCCCGGGGGGCCCGCCGGCGGACAAACCAAACUCUGUUAUCUUCGUUGAUUAUCUGAGUGUCUUAUUUAAUAAGUCAAAACUUUCAACAACGGAUCUCUUGGUUCUGGCAUCGAUGAAGAACGCAGCGAAAUGCGAUAAGUAAUGUGAAUUGCAGAAUUCAGUGAAUCAUCGAAUCUUUGAACGCACAUUGCGCCCAUUAGUAUUCUAGUGGGCAUGCCUGUUCGAGCGUCAUUUCAACCCCUAAGCACAGCUUAUUGUUGGGACUCUACGGCUUCGUAGUUCCCCAAAGACAUUGGCGGAGUGGCAGCAGUCCUCUGAGCGUAGUAAUUCUUUAUCUCGCUUUUGUUAGGCGCUGCCCCCCCCGGCCGUAAAACCCCCAAUUUUUUCUGGUUGACCUCGGAUCAGGUAGGAAUACCCGCUGAACUUAAGCAUAU
rnacentral:rRNA from 1 species